rnacentral:rRNA from 1 species
CCUACGGGCGGCAGCAGUGGGGAAUAUUGGACAAUGGGGGGAACCCUGAUCCAGCCAUGCCGCGUGUGUGAAGAAGGCCCUCGGGUUGUAAAGCACUUUCAGUGAGGAAGAACGCCUGGUGGUUAAUACCCGUCAGGAAAGACAUCACUCACAGAAGAAGCACCGGCUAACUCCGUGCCAGCAGCCGCGGUAAUACGGAGGGUGCUAGCGUUAAUCGGAAUUACUGGGCGUAAAGCGCGCGUAGGUGGCUUGAUAAGCCGGUUGUGAAAGCCCCGGGCUCAACCUGGGAACGGCAUCCGGAACUGUCAAGCUAGAGUGCAGGAGAGGAAGGUAGAAUUCCCGGUGUAGCGGUGAAAUGCGUAGAGAUCGGGAGGAAUACCAGUGGCGAAGGCGGCCUUCUGGACUGAAACUGACACUGAGGUGCGAAAGCGUGGGUAGCAAACAGGAUUAGAUACCCUAGUAGUC